rnacentral:rRNA from 1 species
UACGAAGGGGGCUAGCGUUGCUCGGAAUCACUGGGCGUAAAGCGCACGUAGGCGGUUUCUUAAGUCAGGGGUGAAAUCCUGGAGCUCAACUCCAGAACUGCCUUUGAUACUGGGAGACUUGGAGUCCGGGAGAGGUGAGUGGAACUGCGAGUGUAGAGGUGAAAUUCGUAGAUAUUCGCAAGAACACCAGUGGCGAAGGCGGCUCACUGGCCCGGUACUGACGCUGAGGUGCGAAAGCGUGGGUAGCAAACAGG